rnacentral:ncRNA from 2 species
UGUGGGAGCGAGCUUGCUCGCGAUAGGGCCUUUACCUUCAACAUACAUGUUGACUGAAAGUCCGCUAUCGCGAGCAAGCUCGCUCCCACA